AGGAAAUGAAGUGGAAUCUAGCCACUCAUCACCAGCGAUGAAAUUUGAUACAGUAAAAUCAUUGGCAUCGUAAUCAUCCAUUAAGUGAUACCCUUGCCAAUUUACUCGAUCAUCUGUAGCAGACCCACCUCCAUUAUUUUCAUACUCUCCAUAAUAUAAAUCAUCUGUGUCUUGAUCAUCCCCAGACCAUUCAAUCCACCCCGCUGGAUCGAUAAAACCAUCAAUGAAAGACUCGAGAAUGACUGUCCUAGAGUACCCCUGCCAUGGCCUCCCUAGAUAACUUUUGACACGUCCGCUCUUAUAAGCAGAGUUCAAAUCAUCUGUAGCCACAAUCGAGCAAUUCUGUAUUGAAAUUCCUGUGUCUACGUCUGGGCUAUCUCGAGACUGGGCGGUGAUGACGGUGAAUUGGCCCGGCAUUGGCAUUCUGGAGAUGAUGUUACAUCCCUGGAACACUGCAGCAGCAUUGCCAAAUAUGUAAUCUAUAGUCCCUGAAAUGUCACAUUCUCGAUAAAAUUGUCGAAAUGAGUGCACGUAUAGUGUGUCUUGGUGCCCUUUAAUCGUACACGCAUACAUUGCUGCUAGGUCUGCGUUUAUGCGAAGGGCAACUGCUUGA
rnacentral:misc_RNA from 1 species